UACGUAGGGGGCAAGCGUUGUCCGGAUUUACUGGGCGUAAAGAGCGCGCAGGCGGUCGUGCAAGUCGCGUGUGAAAGCCCCCGGCUCAACUGGGGAGGGUCACGCGAUACUGCUCGACUCGAAGGCAGGAGAGGGAAGUGGAAUUCCCGGUGUAGUGGUGAAAUGCGUAGAUAUCGGGAGGAACACCAGUGGCGAAGGCGACUCCUGGCCUGUUCUUGACGCUGAGGCGCGAAAGCUAGGGUAGCAAACGGGAUUAAGAUGACCCCGG
rnacentral:rRNA from 1 species